UUGCAAAAUCUAAGUAUGAUCCAUGAGAACAUGCACACAAAUUUAACUACUUGGCAUAAAAGAGCAUAAGUUCAUCAUCUAAGAACAGUAGAAUAAAGAGGUACACAAUCAUAGAAGAGAUUAUGUGUGCAGAUAUGAUGAUAUAUAAGCCUAUUCAAUUAUUCCAUUUGAUGUGAUGAUAUGAGGUGCACAUUGAACCUCUCGUUCUUUUCUCAUAGCAAAUAACACCAGGAUCAUAGCAGUAAGCCAAUUAUAAAGUGGCAAGAAGAUGAUUAUCCAGUAGUUUUUUCUGCGGUUGAUUUGAGAUAAAAAAAAUAGAGGCGAUACUUGCUGCACUUCUGCAUCCGUAACUUCUCGACACUGUUCAUGUCUUGAUUCAUUUAGGCUAGCUAUCUUCUUGCUGCUUGAGAAUUUGAUAGCAAACUCUGCAAUGCACCCAAAAAAGAUUAGACUUGAUAGGAAAUCUCUAUUGUCUUAUAGUCGAAGAAUAGGCUUGCAUCAACAAAAAUACAAAAAAAUUAAAAUUUGACAGUGUUAGGAACAUGCAGUGAUAUACUGAGCCAUAAACUCUUGCAAUGAUACACUGAACCAUAAAAUGCACACAAACCAGAUGGGACUUGAAGAGAAGUCAGCAGUAUUACAUGCAUUAGAAAGCAAGUAAACUGUUGAUUGGAAAACAGAGUUUGCCUAACAGACUGCACCACAAAAAUGUUUUAAUAACAUGAGAAUGCAUACCGAACGGAACUUUUCUAGUCUAUGUUUUAUUGAGAGCAGUACACAUAAACAGUGGAACUUGCUACGAUAGACCAAAUUAUUUUAAUCGAGUGAAGAAAAGAACAGAAUGAUUUCUAUUGGUAGAAGAAUAUAUACCUCUGGCCUCUCUGUAUCCUUCCAUAUAUUCAUCCGAUUAACACACGCAAAUCCUAGAAAAAAGAACAAAUAGAAAGGAGGCCAACCACUGAUGCUCUAAGCUCCGAAGAGCAUAGCCAUGUAGCACUUGAUCUAUGCCUUCAGCACAAAUAAAGAGAAAAUUACAGAGUAAAGAGUUCUUCUGUGAUAGUUGAGAAACGGACCAGGGAAACUAAUUUAGCUGCCCACCAAGAAGUAGAAAAAUCCAGUGAAGUGAUACCCUUGAUGCUGCAAUCUUCCGCAUUUAUUUGGAGAACCUGCUUCCCUUACAAUACUACAGAAAAUAAUAUCCAUUCAUUUUGGUUAUUUGCUACUGAAACAAAAACUGAUGGCUAGAAACAGAACUGAUGGCUAGAAACAGGAGUCAUGUCUAUAGAGAACUGAGAUAGGUGUAGUGCCAUUACCUAUUAAAGGAAGGAAAUAACAAUGAACCAUGCCUGUCAAUCAGUCUAUAGCUAGAAGGCCAAGCGCCCCAUCGACUAUCUGCACAAGCACACCCCAACCUACAUUGGAGUAAUGGAGCUCAUAUUAGCUUCCCUCGCAACAAAUAGUUGAUAUUUAUGAGCUAAUAUGCAUAAAAGGCCCACUUAAUAUAUCUGUAAGAAGUUGGAUUCAGGUCUCGUUUUGGUGCUCAAUCAUAAUUAUGCCCCUG
rnacentral:lncRNA from 1 species